rnacentral:rRNA from 1 species
UACGUAGGGUGCGAGCGUUAAUCGGAUUUACUGGGCGUAAAGCGUGCGCAGGCGGCCCGUAAAGACAGGUGUGAAAUCCCUGGGCUCAACCUAGGAAUUGCGCUUGUGACUGGCGGGCUCGAGUACGGUAGAGGGGGGUGGAAUUCCUGGUGUAGCAGUGAACUGCGUAGAGAUCAGGAGGAAAACCGAUGGCGAAGGCAGCCCCCUGGGCCUGUACUGACGCUCAUGCACGAAAGCGUGGGUAGCAAACAGG